AGAGGAUCAGCCAACACUGACACAGUACCAAAGCGCCCAGUGCCAAUGGACUCAAUGGAGAUCCCUCACCUGCUGGCACAGCCCAGCGCCCCUUGUGAACUCAGCACUUAAGCACUGAGAGGCACCGGAGGCACCUGCGCCUGCGCACUCCCACUAGGCUGCUCUUGGAAGGGAUUCAGAAGGCCCCGCCCACUGGCCUAGCCCUCUCCGCAAUCGUGGCUCCGCCCACAGUCCUGGCCCCUCCCACAGCCUAGUGGUCUCCGCAGAAGGGUCCAACUACCCGCUUGGGCUCACCUGCUGUCUCGGGUGACCAAACUUUGUCCAUAACUGUCAACUAGGGUUCCAUUUCACUCAUUUGCCCAUUCACCCAACAUUUCCAGAGCACCUACUGUGUGUUGAGUUCUAGGCUGGGUGAUGUAUCAGGCAUAGGGAGGAGCCCACUGUGUGAUCUCUAACCCUGAAUGGCUCUAGGGCUGGUGCUGGGGGUGUACAGUUAUUCUUUAGGACCCUGGGCAUUUCUUGAGGACCUUCUGUGUGCUGAGAACUGGACUGGACAAAGUUUGGUCAGAGGGAGGCACCAGACUCCACGGUCCUCACCCUGCUGUCUCCUGUGCUGGUACUGAGGAGAUUGAGCCGCUUAUUUAUCUGGCAUCUCUUGAGGACCUGCUGUGUGCCAGGGCAGCACUGGGCUGUAUGGGGCACAGGGAAGAAAGUACUCUGUUCCCUGACCCUGAAUGGCUCUGGCUCUGGUACAACUAUUCAUUCUGAUCUGCAGCAAUUCUUGAGAACCUACUGUGUGUUAAGUUCUGGGCUGUGAUGUGUGGGUCAUAGGGAGGGUCCAGCUGUUGAUCCCUGAGGGGCAAAAGUGUCUGACUUAUUAAUUCCUCAGCCUGAACUUUCCUGGGUGCCGAGACCUGUGCAGGCGAUAUCAGGAUGCAGAUCAAAAACAAAAAAAUAGGGCCUGGGGUUGUGGCUCAGAGGUAGAGCGCCUGCCUAGCAUGCAUGAGGCACUGGGUUCGAGCCUCAGCACUACAUAAAAAUUAAACAUUGUUCCACCUAAAACUAAAACUAAAUAAAUAUUAAAAAAAACAGCAGCCAAGCAACUACUGCAGCCCCCCAGGAGGGGCAGCAGCCAGCUGCGUCCGCCGUGUGCCCGGCCCUCUGUCUCAGGUGUGUUCCCACAGAGCUUGUUUCUG
rnacentral:lncRNA from 1 species